CAGUGGAAGUUGGCAUAACGUAUCUGCAUAAUGAUGAUUGUCCUAGAUUGUAGAAUGUAAAAUAACAAUGAGCUUGAGUUUCCUGGAAGCUAAACUGUAAAACGUCCCCCCGCCCCGCUUUUUAAAAAAAAUAAAUAAAGUGAGAAUGGGAAGUCGAUGUGAUUGGGAAAUAAUUACUUUGUUUUGAGAGAGGUGAGGGCGGUGGGAGGCAGAAAACUAGCCUCCUGUGCUCGGAUCUGUUUGUAUGCUUCAGCUUUUCUUUGUAAUGCUCGCGCGGAGUCACUUUAGAUCUAAUGAAGGCACCGAAUUACUGCAGUCAUGGGAGGAGCAAAGCUAUCCACCCUUUGAUGCACUCAAUAAAGAGCGUGGAUGCAGCCGCCUCUUCAUCCACCAGAGAACUUACUAAGGAGUAAUCUCAUUGUCUUCAGUCCUUAAGACGACUGAACUCUCUUCGCUACAUUGAUCAGUACUACGGUUGCUCAUACUUUUAUUUACUAAGAUUAUUCUUUAAUAAAACUGCAAUUGGCAUCUA